CGAAGAGCCGCUGGACUGUUGUAAGAGUGCAUAGCGUAUCUAAAUAUUGAUAAUAUCAAGAUUUCAUUGCGCCGCACCUUGAGUUCAAAGUGUGUGGUGCGAUGAAUAUUUACAAUCGAAGAAAUAUUUCCGUAAAACAGCUGGUGUAUGGAAAUUGGAAAGGAAAAGAGGGCGAUGGUACAAUUACGAGGGCAGCAUUUGCUUCUUUGUUGAUGGUUUCGUGUGACACACAGUACGGUACAGUGGGUGCUAAAAUUCCAUGAGAUAUCAGCCAGAAGGAAAACGUAUCAAAUCAAUUUUGAUGACGGGAAAUUUCUGAUUAUGUAUUUGGAUAGAAAAUAUGGCUAUGAAUAGUUCAACACACUAACCCUACUGCACCACCUAGAUCACCAAGCAUGAGACAUGCCAUACCCAAAAUCAAGACUGCCACAUUCUUUGUUAUCUAUUUAAAGUGAAUCUGAUUUUAAGUAGUGCUGCCCUCUAAAUUGUUCCUCGAGCCCAGGUGACCGACAUCAGAGUUGAGGGGAAACGUAUCAGAGCAAGUCUGAAGACAGAACUUAUAUUUCUAUUUAUCUGAAUAGCAGUCAGGCUUUCAAUAGAACAACAGUGACCCCACCACGCAACUGUUCUCUAUUCUACAAGAAAGAAACACACAUACCGAGCAGCAGUAAGGAUUAAUCAUUAUUAUAUCUGAUUAACAGGACAUUAUUUUGAUUUGCUACUGCUUGCUUAUGGGUUCCUUGAGCCCAGGUGACCGACAUCAGAGUUGAGGGGAAACGUAUCAGAGCAAGUCUGAAGACAGAACUUAUAUUUCUAUUUAUCUGAAUAGCA